rnacentral:rRNA from 1 species
UACGUAGGGUGCGAGCGUUUGUCCGGAAUUAUUGGGCGUAAAGGGCUCGUAGGCGGUUUGUCGCGUCGGGAGUGAAAACACUGGGCUUAACUCGGUGCUUGCUUUCGAUACGGGCAGACUAGAGGCAUGCAGGGGAGAACGGAAUUCCUGGUGUAGCGGUGAAAUGCGCAGAUAUCAGGAGGAACACCGGUGGCGAAGGCGGUUCUCUGGGCAUGUCCUGACGCUGAGGAGCGAAAGUGUGGGGAGCGAACAGG